AUAUACAACAACAAGAAGAAGAGAUAUAAAUAAAGAAGAAAGAAAAAAAGAAGAAAAAGGGGGAAAUGACUAAGGGUUUUUUCUUAUCUAAAUGCUAAGAUGUACUUUUAUACUUUUCCGUUUGAAUAAUACCUCGUGUGAU
rnacentral:ribozyme from 1 species